UAAAAUUUAUAAAAUUAGGUAGUAAAGAAAUUUCUGAAACCUAAAGAAUUUGGCGGUAUUUUAAAUAAUUGGAGGAACCUGUUAUUUAAUUGACAAUCCACAACAUAUCUUACCUAAAUUUUAUUUGUAUAUCGUCGUUUUGAUAAUAUUUAAAAAUUAUGAUCAAUUUUAAUAAAUUUUUGAAAUUCAGGUCAAGGUGCAGUAUAUUUAGGUUAUAAUGGGUUACAAUAUAUUUAUAUAUAAUGGAUAUAAACUUGAAAAUUAUAUUGAAAGUGGAUUCAAAAGUAAAAUUAAAUUAAAAAGUUUAUUUGAUUAAUAAUUUAAAAUAUGC
rnacentral:rRNA from 1 species